rnacentral:misc_RNA from 1 species
UAUCACCUUCUCCCCAUGAUCCCAGACCAAGCCCCACUGGUGAAGGACUGAUCCCGCUCUACUCAGCCACCUCUCAGGCGAAGAGGGAUUGGGAGAGAUAACGAAGAGUGAACUAAUAAAAUCGAUCGAACAUGGGAGGAGGAGCAGAGCACGGUCACGGAGCUGAUGGGUCCCAUGGGGACUUCAGGGCGAAGGUGUGGAGCAUGAGUGGUGGCCCAUACUGCAGGCCCAAGCAUUGGCGUCGCAACACCGCCAUUGCUAUGUUCGGCGUUGUCCUCAUCUGCAUUCCCAUCGCCAAGAAAUCGGCCGAGCUGGAGCAACGCCCACAUCAUCCUGUUCGCCCAAUUCCGUCACAGCUUUG